GUAGCCGGCCUUACAAGUCCUCCGUUAAAUUCAGCUGCUUAACAGAUGGGCUGCGGAGGAUACUAUAAGACUAGGAGGCAGGAGAGGCCUGCGGUACUCAGUGGGUAGGGGUAAAAUCCGUUGAUCCAUUGAAGACCACCAGUGGCGAAGGCGGCUUGCCAGAAUGCGCUCGACGGUGAGGGAUGAAAGCUGGGGGAGCAAACCGGAUUAGAUACCCGGGUAGUCCCAGCUGUAAACGAUGCACUACUCGGUGAUGGACUAGCUAUAUGCUGGUCCAGUGCCGCA
rnacentral:rRNA from 1 species